ACGCUGGCGGCGUGCCUAAUACAUGCAAGUCGAGCGGACCAAAGGGAGCUUGCUCCUGGAGGUUAGCGGCGAACGGGUGAGUAACACGUGGGCAACCUGCCUGUAAGACUGGGAUAACAUCGAGAAAUCGGUGCUAAUACCGGAUAUAAAAAGAACUGCAUGGUUCUUUUUUGAAAGAUGGUUUCGGCUAUCACUUACAGAUGGGCCCGCGGCGCAUUAGCUAGUUGGUGGGGUAACGGCUCACCAAGGCGACGAUGCGUAGCCGACCUGAGAGGGUGAUCGGCCACACUGGGACUGAGACACGGCCCAGACUCCUACGGGAGGCAGCAGUAGGGAAUCUUCCGCAAUGGACGAAAGUCUGACGGAGCAACGCCGCGUGAGUGAUGAAGGUUUUCGGAUCGUAAAACUCUGUUGUUAGGGAAGAACAAGUGCCGUUCGAAAGGGCGGCACCUUGACGGUACCUAACGAGAAAGCCACGGCUAACUACGUG
rnacentral:rRNA from 1 species